rnacentral:rRNA from 1 species
AUUGAACGCUGGCGGCAGGCCUAACACAUGCAAGUCGAGCGAGCGGCGGACGGGUGAGUAAUGUCUGGGAAACUGCCUGAUGGAGGGGGAUAACUACUGGAAACGGGAGCUAAUACCGCAUACCAUCAGAUGUGCCCAGAUGGGAUUAUCUAGUAGGUGGGGUAACGGCUCACCUGGGCGACGAUCCCUAGCUGGUCUGAGGGGAUGACCAGCCCCACUGGACCUGAGACACGUUCCAGACUCCUACGGCAGGCAGCAGUGGGGAAUAUUGCACAAUGGGCGCAAGCCUGAUGCAGCCAUUCCGCGUGUGUGAAGAAGGCCUUCGGGUUGUAAAGCACUUUCAGCGGGGAGGCGUUACCCGCAGAAGAAGCACCGGCUAACUCCGUGCCAGCAGCCGCGGUAAUAC